rnacentral:rRNA from 1 species
AUUGAACGCUGGCGGAAUGCUUUACACAUGCAAGUCGAACGGCAGCACGGACUUCGGUCUGGUGGCGAGUGGCGAACGGGUGAGUAACAUAUCGGAACGUAUCCAAUAAUGGGGGAUAACGAGUCGAAAGAUUCGCUAAUACCGCAUACGCCCUAUGGGGGAAAGCUGGGGACCUUCGGGCCAGGCGUUAAUGGAGCGGCCGAUAUCUGAUUAGCUAGUUGGUGAGGUAAAGGCUCACCAAGGCGACGAUCAGUAGCUGGUCUGAGAGGACGACCAGCCACACUGGAACUGAGACACGGUCCAGACUCCUACGGGAGGCAGCAGUGGGGAAUUUUGGACAAUGGGCGCAAGCCUGAUCCAGCCAUUCCGCGGGAGUGAAGAAGGCCUUCGGGUUGUAAAGCUCUUUCGCAAGGGAAGAAAACUUAGCCACUAACAUUGGUUGAGGUUGACGGUACCUUGAUAAGAAGCACCGGCUAACUACGUGCCAGCCGCCGCCGUAA